UGGCGGCGUGCUAAUACAUGCAAGUCGAGCGGACAGAUGGGAGCUUGCUCCCUGAUGUUAGCGGCGGACGGGUGAGUAACACGUGGGUAACCUGCCUGUAAGACUGGGAUAACUCCGGGAAACCGGGGCUAAUACCGGAUGGUUGUUUGAACCGCAUGGUUCAAACAUAAAAGGUGGCUUCGGCUACCACUUACAGAUGGACCCGCGGCGCAUUAGCUAGUUGGUGAGGUAACGGCUCACCAAGGCAACGAUGCGUAGCCGACCUGAGAGGGUGAUCGGCCACACUGGGACUGAGACACGGCCCAGACUCCUACGGGAGGCAGCAGUAGGGAAUCUUCCGCAAUGGACGAAAGUCUGACGGAGCAACGCCGCGUGAGUGAUGAAGGUUUUCGGAUCGUAAAGCUCUGUUGUUAGGGAAGAACAAGUACCGUUCGAAUAGGGCGGUACCUUGACGGUACCUAACCAGAAAGCCACGGCUAACUACGUGCCAGCAGCCGCGGUAAUACGUAGGUGGCAAGCGUUGUCCGGAAUUAUUGGGCGUAAAGGGCUCGCAGGCGGUUUCUUAAGUCUGAUGUGAAAGCCCCCGGCUCAACCGGGGAGGGUCAUUGGAAACUGGGGAACUUGAGUGCAGAAGAGGAGAGUGGAAUUCCACGUGUAGCGGUGAAAUGCGUAAA
rnacentral:rRNA from 1 species